AUGGGAAACCCUGUUGAUGCACCUAAACCCUAUCAAUGGAUAUGGAAAUCAUGCUCUUUACCAAAGCAGAAAUUCUUCUUCUGGCUCUUGUUACAAGACAGAUUAAACACUAGAGAUCUACUAAAAAGGAAGAAUUUCUACAUUGAGACUAGUAAGUGUGAAUUAUGUGAUGAUGAACCUAAUGAACAUUUAAUGCAUCUGUCUUUUAGCUGUGAUUUCAGUCAAAACUUCUGGAUGAACAUUGGCUACCAAUGGAACACUGAUCAUAACCUCAUAGAAAUGCUCCUGGAGGGAAGGAAGCAAGAUACACAUGGAUGCUUUAAAGAAUGUCUGAUUGCUGGAUGGAGUCUAUGGAAACACAGAAAUAGCAUAAUUUUUGACAACAAGGUCAAAAAUAUGACAUUCUGUAUUGCCACUUUCAAGGAGCACUUUUGCAUGAUUAUAAAGAAGGUAAAACCAGGAUUGAAAGAGGGCAUGCAAAGCUGGCUAGAUCAUUUGUAG
rnacentral:rRNA from 1 species